rnacentral:rRNA from 1 species
GCUUGCUCUUUAAUGAAGUGAGUGGCGGACGGGUGAGUAACACGUGGGUAACCUGCCCAUUAGAGGGGGAUAACAUUCGGAAACGGAUGCUAAUACCGCAUAGUUUCAGGAAUCGCAUGAUUCUUGAAGGAAAGGUGGCUUCGGCUACCACUAAUGGAUGGACCCGCGGCGUAUUAGCUAGUUGGUGAGGUAAUGGCUCACCAAGGCAAUGAUACGUAGCCGACCUGAGAGGGUGAUCGGCCACACUGGGACUGAGACACGGCCCAGACUCCUACGGGAGGCAGCAGUAGGGAAUCUUCCGCAAUGGACGAAAGUCUGACGGAGCAACGCCGCGUGAGUGAAGAAGGUUUUCGGAUCGUAAAACUCUGUUGUUAAAGAAGAACAAGGAUGAGAGUAACUGCUCAUCCCCUGACGGUAUUUAACCAGAAAGCCACGGCUAACUACGUGCCAGCAGCCGCGGUAAUACGUAGGUGGCAAGCGUUGUCCGGAUUUAUUGGGCGUAAAGCGAGCGCAGGCGGUUCUUUAAGUCUGAUGUGAAAGCCCCCGGCUCAACCGGGGAGGGUCAUUGGAAACUGGAGAACUUGAGUGCAGAAGAGGAGAGUGGAAUUCCACGUGUAGCGGUGAAAUGCGUAGAUAUGUGGAGGA